rnacentral:rRNA from 1 species
CUACGGGGCGCUGCAGGCGAGAAAACUUUGCAAUGUGCGAAAGCACGACAAGGUUAAUCCGAGUGGUUUCUGCUAAAGGAACCUUUUGUCGGUCCUAGAAACACCGAUGAAUAAGGGGUGGGCAAGUUCUGGUGUCAGCCGCCGCGGUAAAACCAGCACCUCAAGUGGUCAGGAUGAUUAUUGGGCCUAAAGCAUCCGUAGCCGGCUCUGUAAGUUUUCGGUUAAAUCUGUAUGCUCAACAUACAGGCUGCCGGGAAUACUGCAUAGCUAGGGAGUGGGAGAGGUAGACGGUACUCGGUAGGAAGGGGUAAAAUCCUUUGAUCUAUUGAUGACCACCUGUGGCGAAGGCGGUCUACCAGAACACGUCCGACGGUGAUGGAUGAAAGCUGGGGGAGCAAACCGGAUUAGAUACCCUCGUAGUC